GGAGAGCCCGUCGUUGUCGAACAAGCAGUGCGCGGGAAAGGAGCUGGUGGUUCUGCUGGGGCGGCUGCUGCUGGUGGAGCUCUUCCUCCGCUACGAUACCUUCACCGCGGAGGUUGGGACGGAUGCGCUCGGGAUCCAGGUCACCUUCACCUCGUUGACCAAGCCCAGUGCUACUUCCUAAGCCACCCACCCUUGAGUUUCUCCCAGCGCUUGCUCUUUUAUCUCAUAUAUCUGGUUAAAUAAAGUCAAAAUCUGGUUUCCCCGUGGUGUUUGUUUUUGUUGUUGUUUUUGUUUAUAUAUAUAUAUAUAUAUAUAUUGGCUUCCACCAUCUUGCAAUCAAAAUUAAAUGUAUUUAAGAUGUGGAAUUAAAUUGUGAUGCAGAAUAGUGGAAUGAAUGCUUAGCACUCAAGUAAACCUUGAAUCCAUCAACCAACAGCACAUUCAACCUUCAAAUCAAAGAGAGGAGUGAAGACUCUUAAUUGAAUGAGCUAUCAACAGAACAUCUAUAGCAAUCACUGGCAGCCCUCUCAUUUAUUAAAAAAAAAAAAAUCCAUACUUCAAAGAGCAUCUACUAUCAACUUCCAAUUAUGCUGCAACGAGAUUUUCAUUUCCUGAGUUUUAGCUCAUUUCUUUCUAAAUCUUAUUAUAUAUUUUAUUUUUUUAUAAAUUUUUUAAAAUUGAAAUUUGUGAGAUAGGCUCAUCUCCGGUCCGUAAUUAGACGGUGUAUUGACUGAAUUUAAGCAUGACUUAGAGAAAUAUUUUAAUUAACUAUCUGAGCAAAAUUAACUAGAUUGAUUGUGAGCUCGAGUUAAAGCAAUGAAAUUAUAAUCUCGAGCAAUUAUAGUUAGAAUUUUUAAGUAAUGGAUCUUGGAAAGUGGAUAUUGGUCUUGAGUUUGGUAUGAACCACUAUAAAUUUUGUAUGCUUGUAUUUGUGUCUUGAUUUUAUUUCUUUAAUCUACUUUUCUUAGUUAUUCCUAUUGAAUUCCGUUGUAUACAGUACACACUCAUACUUAAAUUAAAAAUAAUGCCUUUAAUUGCUGUAAAUUUUUAAGAAACUCAAUUUACCCUCUCUCUGUCCUCUUGGAUUGCUACGUCUAGAUAACAUGGUAUCAUAGCUUGGCACUCAACUUCUUUUUGAUUCAACUAUCAAAAGUUAAAGAUCAAGAGAAACUCAAAUUGAUUUAUCUUUUACUGAAGGGCAAUCACAAAUUAUCCUCCUUUGUUUAUUGGCAGUAGUUGCAUAUACAUCUAGGCAACAUUGAUACUUGGCCCCUUUUUGAUUUAAUCGUCAGGAGUUAAAGAUCAAUGACAAUUCAAAUAGGUUUAUCUCUUACUGAAGGGCAAUCCACAAAUCACUUUCCUUUAUUCAAUGGCACCACUUACAUAUAUUGGAAAGCACAUAUAUGUAUAUUUAUUUAGGUACUUGAUUAAUGAUUUAUAGGAAGUCAUAAUCAAUGAUUUACAUACACUCACGAUAUUACUUGAUAGCAUUACUUUACCCUAACCUGAAAGAGAAUGGAAUAAAUUAGAUAAGAAAAUGACUCAGCUAAAUACAAAGAUCAUGAAAUAAGGCAUCAUUUUAUAAAAGAUCAUAUUCAAAAUGAUGAUGUAUUACUUGAUUUAGAUAGACAACUAACAGGUAUUUUUACCAAACCUUUGAGUAAGAAAAAAAUUAUUAUGAUAAUUAGAAAAGAGUUAAAGAGUUUGUGACCCCUUUAACUAAGCCUUUUCCUAACUCUUUCUCUCUCCCCCCUUAAAACUCUCAAAUUUGAUCUUUUCUUGAAUCCUACGUGUUUGAUUUCAUGCUUAUUUUUUCUUAUUUGUGUUUCCUUGAGUCGUCUCUUAUCUUAAGUAUUAAUUUUUUUAAAAAAUUUGAUAUUUCUUGUUUGAGGCUAAGCUCGAGUCAACUCAUAGUUGAGUUUGAGUUGGCUUCAGCUUGAGUCGAUUCUAGCAAAAAAACUUGAAUUAGCUCUUGAUCGGGACCACUCAUUUAAAUGACGAGCCGUCUGAUAAACACUUAAUUUAAGUCAUUUAAAGUAAAAAAUUAUAUUUAAUUUAUUUUAUUUAUUAAGAAUUUAAUGCUUCUUUUUAUAUUUUACAGGAAAGAUGAUUGCCGAUACAAAGAGUCCGAUUCGUAGAUCAAAAAGACUCAAGUUUGAAGAAAAUUAGACUUAAAAUAAAAUUUAAAUAAAAGAAGGAUGUAUACGGUAUUAUAGAAAAUGAAGAUACUAUGCAAGGAACCUAAAAAGGAUAUAGACGUCAUUUUAAAGAAACAAAAGUUUCUUUUUGUAAUUUGGAGUGUAAACGGAAGGCUCGCAUGGGCGGACGCGUGGCACGGUGGGCGCAGCACGGCGGGCAUGGCAUGGCGGGUUCGUGCGGCAUUGUGGGCGCGCNN
rnacentral:lncRNA from 1 species